rnacentral:lncRNA from 1 species
AAUCAAUGUUUAUAAAAGCAGAUAUUAUCAUCAGCUUAUGGGAAAGUAUAAUAUAAUUCCAAUUAUAUGUUUGUUUGGGAGCAUGUUUAUAUUACUAAUAACUAUCAUUUCAGUGCACUGGUUAUUGGUUGUGUCAUUAUUUUAUUACUGUCAAACCAAGAUAAGACGCCCCAUUAAGCCGCCACCCUGGCUGACCGCCAAGAAAUUUGGCAGAACGGAUCUUCCCUAUGUUAAUGGAAUAGACAAACCUCAAUAAAGACACCAUCCGCCAGUAGAAACGUCUAAACAAAUAUUCUUUUUGGUAUUGUGUUUGUCCUCAUUAAUCCGCCAUGGGCAUGUAAGGUG